rnacentral:misc_RNA from 1 species
GUAGGUGAACCUGCGGAAGGAUCAUUAACACGAACUUCUAUCCAAUAUCAAACCAAACGUGAACUUUUCCCCUCCCUAGUCAAAAACAAACAACAACUUUAUGUUGUCCGUUUAUUUGUCUAGGCUAACCUUUUUUUAACUUUAUAUACAAUAUAUUUGUAUUGUAUAUAUUGUUUUUAACUCCUAUAACUUUAACUCUAGUUAUGUCGAGGAUUUUUUCUCUUCAAACUACUAACACUAAAAAAUGACC